rnacentral:tRNA from 1 species
CAGAUUAUGCUUAGGGCUAUCUAUUGUUUACAUUAAUAGUAUAUUUGUGCGAUUCAAAUUAAUCUGA